GGCAUAAUAACUGAGUUUCACGCCUCGCUGCCCCCUCCAGGUCUAAGACGUUGGCUCUUUGUUUCUCAUGGGUUUUGGCUAUUUGGUCGCCAGAAUUUUGUAUUUGAACACUGGCGGUGUCGGAUCUCCCUGAUUUUCUUUUGUUUUUCGUGAAACUCCUCUGAUUUUGUUGUUUUUACGUUGAAGCCUCCCCGGGGUUUCGCCUGUUUCAUCUUCGACAGUUCCAAUUGUCAUCGCACCAGAUCUGACGUCUGUUGGUUGUUGUUGUUGCCUUUUGUGGAGCUUUGACUCUUCCUCCUUAGUGGUCUUUUCGGUCCUUAGGCGGUUUCGACGUUCUUUUCUUGGGAUUUCACGGCGGCAUGGCCUCUGUCGGAGGCGUGCAUGUCAUUAGGCCAGUUGCAGAGGCCUCCUGCAGUAUCUCGAUGUUCUCUUCCUCUCCCCCCAUCCAGGUGGCGUGGCACUUCUCCUCCAGACGGUUGGCGGCAAAUUGGAAGCUAGGGUCAUCAAUUACCAUUUAAAUGAUUAAGUUAAUAUAUAAUUGUAAAAAUAGGUUAAUCUAAUUAGCUGCAAUUAAAAUAUAUAAAAAAAUCAUGUCAUUAAAUUAGGGAUGUUGUUCAUAUCAGCUAGAAGACUUGAAAAGCUUGUUAUCAUAACCAUCAAUAUCAGCGUUCCUGAAAACAAAUUGAAGAAUUUUUCUUAUAAAAAUAGUGGAGAAACCCCAAA
rnacentral:lncRNA from 1 species